AUUGAACGCUGGCGGCAUGCCUUACACAUGCAAGUCGAACGGUAACGCGGGGCAACCUGGCGACGAGUGGCGAACGGGUGAGUAAUGCAUCGGAACGUGCCCAGAAGUGGGGGAUAGCCCGGCGAAAGCCGGACUAAUACCGCAUGAGACCUGAGGGUGAAAGCGGGGGAUCGCAAGACCUCGCGCUUUUGGAGCGGCCGAUGUAAGAUUAGCUAGGUGGGGGGGUAAAGGCCUACCAAGGCGACGAUCUGUAGCUGGUCUGAGAGGACGACCAGCCACACUGGGACUGGGACACGGCCCAGACUCCUACGGGAGGCAGCAGUGGGGAAUUUUGGACAAUGGGCGCAAGCCUGAUCCAGCCAUGCCGCGUGCGGGAAGAAGGCCUUCGGGUUGUAAACCGCCUUUGUCAGGGAAGAAACGCUCUGGGCUAAUACCCUGGGGUAAUGACGGUACCUGAAGAAUAAGCACCGGCUAACUACGUGCCAGCCGCCGCCGUAA
rnacentral:rRNA from 1 species